UGGGGAAUUUUGCACAAUGGGGGAAACCCUGAUGCAGCGACGCCGCGUGAUUUAGAAGGCCUUCGGGUUGUAAAAAUCUUUUUUACGGGAUGAAUAUGACAGUACCGUAAGAAUAAGGUCCGGCUAAAUACGUGCCAGCAGCCGCGGUAAUACGUAUGGACCGAGCGUUGUCCGGAAUCAUUGGGCGUAAAGGGUACGUAGGCGGCCUAGUAAGUUAGAAGUUAAAGAAUAUAGCUCAACUAUAUAAAGCUUUUAAAACUGCUAGGCUUGAGAGAUGGAAGGGAAAGUGGAAUUCCUAGUGUAGCGGUGAAAUGCGCAGAUAUUAGGAAGAAUACCGGUGGCGAAGGCGACUUUCUGGUCAUCAUCUGACGCUGAGGUACGAAAGCGUGGGUAGCAAACAGG
rnacentral:rRNA from 1 species